CCAAUAGCGUAUAUUAAAGUUGUUGCAGUUAAAAAGCUCGUAGUUGAACUUCGGGUUUUACCCAUUGGUCAGGCUUAAUUGUCUGUACUGGUGAGAUGAAUCUCUACCUUCUGAGGAACUUUCAUGCCAUUUAUUUGGUGUGAUUGGAAAUCAGGACUGUUACUUUGAAAAAAUUAGAGUGUUUAAAGCAGGCUAACGUCUGAAUACAUUAGCAUGGAAUAAUGAAAUAGGACGGACUGAUUCUAUUUCGUUGGUUUCUAGGAUCACCGUAAUGAUUAAUAGGGAUAGUUGGGGGCAUUAGUAUUCAAUUGUCAGAGGUGAAAUUCUUGGAUUUAUUGAAGACUAACUACUGCGAAAGCAUUUGCCAAGGAUGUUUUCAUUAAUCAAGAACGAAAGUUAGGGGAUCGAAGACGAUCAGAUACCGUCGUAGUCUUAGCCAUAAACUAUGCCGACUAGGGAUCGGACGAAGUUAAUUUUAUAAUGACGCGUUCGGCACCUUACG
rnacentral:rRNA from 1 species